CCUACGGGUGGCAGCAGUGAGGAAUAUUGGUCAAUGGACGAGAGUCUGAACCAGCCAAGUAGCGUGAAGGAUGACUGCCCUAUGGGUUGUAAACUUCUUUUAUAUGGGAAUAAAACGUUCCACGUGUGGGAUUUUGUAUGUACCAUAUGAAUAAGGAUCGGCUAACUCCGUGCCAGCAGCCGCGGUAAUACGGAGGAUCCGAGCGUUAUCCGGAUUUAUUGGGUUUAAAGGGAGCGUAGGUGGAUUGUUAAGUCAGUUGUGAAAGUUUGCGGCUCAACCGUAAAAUUGCAGUUGAAACUGGCAGUCUUGAGUACAGUAGAGGUGGGCGGAAUUCGUGGUGUAGCGGUGAAAUGCGUAGAUAUCACGAAGAACUCCGAUUGCGAAGGCAGUUCACUGGACUGCAACUGACACUGAGGCUCGAAAGUGUGGGUAUCAAACAGGAUUAGAUACCCCGGUAUC
rnacentral:rRNA from 1 species